UAAUACUGAGGGUGCAAGCGUUAAUCGGAAUUACUGGGCGUAAAGCGAGUGUAGGCGGCUACCUAAGUCGGAUGUGAAAGCCCUGGGCUCAACCUGGGAAUUGCAUUCGAAACUGAGUAGCUAGAGUUUGGUAGAGGUAAGUGGAAUUCCGGGUGUAGCGGUGAAAUGCGUAGAUAUCCGGAGGAACAUCAGUGGCGAAGGCGGCUUACUGGACCAAAACUGACGCUGAGGCUCGAAAGCGUGGGGAGCAAACAGGAUUAGAUACCCUGGUAGUCCACGCCCUAAACGAUGUCAACUAGUCGUUGGGCUCAUUAAGGAGCUUAGUGACGCAGCUAACGCGUUAAGUUGACCGCCUGGGGAGUACGGCCGCAAGGUUG
rnacentral:rRNA from 1 species